AUGCGUGGGUGAGGCGAGGGCUAAACGGGCGGAAUGAACUGGGAGUAAGAUGCUGCCGAGUCCGGGCGAAAAGCAACGCAUGCUGUUGGACAGGAUACGAGCUUGAAGUGAGAGGGAAUAGAGAAGAGGGGACGAAGAAGGGAGUUGAACGGGGUAGUAGUCAGCAUAGGGUUGGGCCCUGGCUGCGUGAAGGAGCCGGAACUGGCCUGGGCCUUACAACUUCCUUAGAUCCGGGUCUUCCUCCAGCAGCUCAAGGGCCGCGUAGCCCGGGAGGCCAUUCAGAAAGUGCAUCCGGGUGGCCUUCAGGGACCAAGGCGCCGGGAGGCACAGCCCCCAGCCCCCAUAGAGGUCUGGACGGAUCUGGCUGAGAAGAUAACAGGGCCACUGGAAGAAGCCCUGGCAGUGGCUUUCUCGCAGGUGCUCACCAUCGCGGCCACGGAACCGGUCACCCUCCUGCACUCCAAGCCCCCCAAGCCCACGCAGGCCCGUGGAAAGCCUUUGCUCCUGAGCGCCCCUGGAGGACAGGAAGACCCCGCCCCUGAAAUACCUAGCUCUGCCCCUGCUGCACCUAGCUCC
rnacentral:lncRNA from 1 species